rnacentral:tRNA from 1 species
ACUCAUGGUUACUUCAGUUAGUAGAGCGCUCCACUGGAAAUGGAGAGGUCCCUGGUUCAAUACCAGGACCAGUU